AUUGAACGCUGGCGGCAGGCUUAACACAUGCAAGUCGAGCGGUAACAGGGGUGCUUGCACCCGCUGACGAGCGGCGAACGGGUGAGUAACGCGUAGGAAUCUACCUAAUAGAGGGGGAUAGCCCGGGGAAACUCGGAUUAAUACCGCAUACGCCCUACGGGGAAAGGACAGGGGAGUCUUCGGACCUUGCGCUAUUAGAUGAGCCUGCGUCGGAUUAGCUAGUUGGUGAGGUAAAGGCUCACCAAGGCGACGAUCCGUAGCUGGUCUGAGAGGAUGAUCAGCCACACUGGAACUGAGACACGGUCCAGACUCCUACGGGAGGCAGCAGUGGGGAAUAUUGGACAAUGGGGGCGAACCCUGAUCCAGCCAUGCCGCGUGUGUGAAGAAGGCCUUCGGGUUGUAAAGUCGACUUUCUAGUAGGGAGGAAGACCGU
rnacentral:rRNA from 1 species